rnacentral:misc_RNA from 1 species
ACUCAGUAUAAACUAUAAAGUAUAGGGCAUAGAUUAUAGGGUGCCUCCAACUUUUUAGAAAAUAAUAAAGGGUCCCGUGAGUCAAAAAAGGUUGGGAACCUCUGACCUACUCAGUCGCAUCGCAAAAAUUCAAAUCGCGCCACGUCAGUCGCGUCAGUCGCGUGUCUACAGACGCGUCCUAAAGAAUCGCACCUUCACAUUUAUCGCAGUGAUCAAGGUAAAAUUUGGAGCUCGAGAGGAAAACAUGUACGUAUGUGUUAUCAAAAAAGUACCUAGUUCUAUAUGAAAAUAAUCCAACGAGGAGCAUACUGAUCGCAGUUAAAAAUGAAAAAAACUAAAUUAAUUCAUCAACUUAAGUUGACUACGUCAAUGUUUUUAAUUGCGUAUGUCGAUAUAUUUAUUGGAUGCGUGGUUAUAUUCUCAGCAGUAAUUUUGGGACAACUCAAUGAGCCUACAUCUUCGCUAAAAGUAAACAAAGAAGAGGCAUCUUGGAUAGCUAGUAUUAUAACACUAAUUUGUCUAGUGAGCUAUUUGUUUAUUGGACCAUUGAUGGAUAUAAUCGGAAGAAAAAAGGCACUUUGUUUUACUUAUAUACCAAUAAUGUUGAGUUGGUUAAUAUUUGUAUAUGCUGACUCCUAUUAUACCAUUCUCAUAGGAAGAGUUCUGCAGGGAUUUGUAAUUAGUGCAACACCUUGUACGUACGUGUACGCCGCAGAAAUAUGUCGGGCCGAACAGCGGCAAUUGUUCACCUCGAUCAUUAACCUGUCCGUGGGUGUUGGCAUGACGUUCCAAUGCGUGUUGGCCAUGUUCUUCCAUUGGCACACGAUUUCCGUAAUCAUGUUGGCGAUGAGCGGUGUCGGGUGCGCGUCCCUGUUCUUGUUACAGGAAUCGCCGGUGUGGCUGAGGGCCCGGGGCCGAGUCCUGCAGGCGGAAACAGUGGAACGGUGGUACGGAUUGGAGCCGCCCGCGGCCGCGGCCACCGUGGAGUCGGUCGACCGCAGCCGCGGUGACGUGGACGGACCGAUGAGCGCGGCCAGCUAUUGGUCGGUGUACGCGCACCGGACCGUGUGGAAGCCGACGCUGAUCUUGUUGACGUUAUUCGCCUGCAUGAUUCUGUCCGGUCUGCACGUAUUGAUCACGUACUCGGUGUACGUGUUGCACGGCUUCAACGUGCAGUGGGACAGCAUCCGGGUCACCGCGCUGCUGUGUGUCGCCCGCGUACUGGGAAGUCUUUUCUACUCCGCUUUGCACGGCGUCAAGCGGAGAACGCUGUUCGUCGUCUCGAGCGCCGGCAUGACCGUGUCGAUGGUCGUCAUUCUACUGGUGCCGAAAAUAUAUGGCAGCACGCUGACUAACUCCGUUCUGGUCGCGGCGUUCUUCGCGUACGUGUUCUCGUCCAUGUUCGGAGUUCUGCCGUUACCUUGGAUAUUGUGCGGCGAACUAUUCCCGCGGACCGUGGCAGUAAAUUUUGGACUGUCGUGACGUAUCAUCUAACGCGAUCUCAUGUACAAUUAUCAAUCGAUACACCGAUCUAUUGAACGAACCAGUUUUGAAGAAUUUUUCGUUAUCGGCCAUGGUGCACAUUACAUGUAUACUUUAUUGAACCUGUCGCAGAUUACAUAUGUACCCUUUUGGAUGUGACGCAGAUCAUACAUAAUUUUUAUUUUCAUCGGUAAUUUUUGGCGCACUAUGAGCAGUUUCGUACACAUAUGUAAUUGCAUCAUGAUGUUUACAAUAAUCAAAAUAUAUCCAAUAUU